UACGUAGGGUGCAAGCGUUAUCCGGAAUUAUUGGGCGUAAAGAGCGUGUAGGCGGCCAGGUAGGUCUGCUGUGAAAACUCGAGGCUUAACCUCGAGAUGUCGGCGGAAACCAUCUGGCUAGAGUCCGGAAGAGGAGAAUGGAAUUCCCGGUGUAGCGGUGAAAUGCGCAGAUAUCGGGAAGAACACCCGUGGCGAAGGCGGUUCUCUGGGACGGUACUGACGCUGAGACGCGAAAGCGUGGGGAGCGAACAGG
rnacentral:rRNA from 1 species